GAUCAUGGCGUCAGGAUGAACGCUGGCGGCGUGCUUAACACAUGCAAGUCGAACGAAGCACUUUACUUGUAUCUUUUCGGUAGUGAUUGUUUUGUGACUGAGUGGCGGACGGGUGAGUAACGCGUGGGUAACCUGCCUCACACAGGGGGGAUAACAGUUGGAAACGGCUGCUAAUACCGCAUAAGCGCACAGUACCGCAUGGUAUGGUGUGAAAAACUCCGGUGGUGUGAGAUGGACCGGCGUCUGAUUAGCUAGUUGGCAGGGCAACGGCCUACCAAGGCGACGAUCAGUAGCCGACCUGAGAGGGUGACCGGCCACAUUGGGACUGAGACACGACCCAAACUCCUACGGGAGGCAGCAGUGGGGAAUAUUGCACAAUGGGGGAAACCCUGAUGCAGCGACGCCGCGUGGAGGAAGAAGGUCUUCGGAUUGUAAACUCCUGUUGUUGAGGAAGAUAAUGACGGUACUCAACAAGAAAGUGACGGCUAACUACGUG
rnacentral:rRNA from 1 species